rnacentral:lncRNA from 1 species
AUAUGCAGCUGGAGCCAUGUGUACUCCUUUGUUUGAUGGCUUAGUCCCUGGGAGCUCCUGCCUCUAUUCUUUUAAAAAAUGUACUUUAAGUAGUAAUCAGUGAUGCUGCUAGUUGGGUUUUCCAUGAAACGGAGGGAGAGUUAGGGAAAGAAUCAGCUAGUGUUCAGUUCUCAAAUGGCUAAUGGACUGCUGACAGUCAGUCUGGACCUUGUUACAAGGAAGGGGAUAAAUAGGGCCAGGAGUAGAAUAAAGAACUUCCAGAGUGUGCCAAGGGCUAGCUGUGAACUUUUUAAUCAGCCAAGACAGGUGUGAUGUCUGGGAGAGUUUGCCAAAGCCAUUGACCUAUGAUCAGCAGGUAAACAGGGAAGCAAGCAAGAUGGCAAAACAAGGGAUUUAGAACCACAAGUUUGGCUGAGACUGACAAUGACAUGCACACAUGCAACAAGUUAAUAAUGCCUUCCUUAACUGGCACUGAACGCAUCCUUUGGGGAGGCAGCAGAUAAUGCACUUGCAGUGGCAAGUGCUGAAGCAGAUGGCUGUUGACAGCGUGAACCCAGGAGCUGCAGACGAGGUUGCCCUGGAGACGUGCUCAGCUUUCUCAGAAUCUGAAUGGAGAGCUACCCCGCUAAUGGAUGAAAUCAUCCGUUAAAGAACAGCAGCUGAAUAAAAC